UACGAAGGGUGCAAACGUUGCUCGGAAUCAUUGGGCGUAAAGCGCACGUAGGCGGCUUCGCAAGUCGGAUGUGAAAUCCCAUGGCCCAACCAUGGACGUGCAUUCGAAACUGCGAAGCUUGAGUAUGGAAGAGGGUCGCGGAAUUCCCGGUGUAGAGGUGAAAUUCGUAGAUAUCGGGAGGAACACCAGUGGCGAAGGCGGCGACCUGGGCCAAUACUGACGCUGAGGUGCGAAAGCGUGGGGAGCAAACAGG
rnacentral:rRNA from 1 species